UGCCCAGACUCCUACGGGAGGCAGCAGUGGGGAAUAUUGCACAAUGGGGGAAACCCUGAUGCAGCGACGCCGCGUGAGGGAAGAAGGUUUUCGGAUUGUAAACCUCUGUCCUUGGUGACGAAAGAAGACGGUAGCCAAGGAGGAAGCCACGGCUAACUACGUGCCAGCAGCCGCGGUAAUACGUAGGGGGCAAGCGUUAUCCGGAUUUACUGGGUGUAAAGGGAGCGUAGACGGCAGCACAAGUCUGGAGUGAAAUGCCGGGGCUUAACCCCGGAACUGCUUUGGAAACUGUGCAGCUAGAGUGCAGGAGAGGUAAGUGGAAUUCCUAGUGUAGCGGUGAAAUGCGUAGAUAUUAGGAGGAACACCAGUGGCGAAGGCGGCUUACUGGACUGUAACUGACGUUGAGGCUCGAAAGCGUGGGGAGCAAACAGGAUUAGAUACCCGCGUA
rnacentral:rRNA from 1 species